rnacentral:rRNA from 1 species
UACGGGGGGAGCAAGCGUUGUUCGGAUUUACUGGGCGUAAAGGGCGCGUAGGCGGUCAGCACAAGUCAGUUGUGAAAUCUCCGGGCUUAACCCGGAAAGGUCAACUGAUACUGUGCGACUAGAGUGCGGAAGGGGCAACUGGAAUUCUCGGUGUAGCGGUGAAAUGCGUAGAUAUCGAGAGGAACACCUGCGGCGAAGGCGGGUUGCUGGGCCGACACGUGACGCUGAUGCGCGAAAGCCAGGGGAGCGAACGGG